CCCUAGCCCCGAUAGAAGUGGAAAUCCUUUUGUGCCGGGGUUCGGCGCAAAAGAUUGAAACGGAUAGCGGGAAAAGCU
rnacentral:sRNA from 3 species